rnacentral:lncRNA from 1 species
UUCAUCACAAACGAGGGUAUGAGAAAUGCAAAAAAAAAGACUGAUGGUAGAUGGGGAGAUAUGGUUUUCUUUUUCAUCACAAUCGAGGUGGAAGGGAGGGAGAGUUUUUUAGGGAAAGAAUUUCUAUGACGAUUCUUUGAUUCUUUUCUUGUUAAAAUUUUUUCCCGAGAAUGAACCACCCAGUCUUGAUUAUUACCUCCUUCUGAAAAACUGAAACCAACCCUAUUAAUUAUUUACAGCUCUUCAAUUUUCUCUCUCUUAUUUACUGUAGUAGCUCAUCUUUCAUCUUAAAUAGUGCCCAACUGCCCUCUUUCUUACACCUCAUACUUGGUACUAAUAAUCCAGCCUUUUUCCCUGCACGUCUUUCAUUUGUGUAGGCGUGUGUGUGAUGUCAGUGGUGGAUUUUGUGUGUUCUUGGACUAGGUCAUGGCGGUUUAUCAAAGGGUUUCUACCAGAAUUUAUUGGCAUUCUGUCCACCUCCAUUCCUGUUAAGAAAUUUCAUUCUGAUGAUAUAUGGAGGUGGGCAUACUGCCAACUGAGUUCUGUUGAAUUCUCUUUGUAAAACCCUCGUGAAGCUCUUUCCCUUGUUUUCGACUGUAUACAGAGCCAAGGUAACGAACCCCUUGCAUAAAUUCGUGCAAAAUUUCUCUUUUUCUUUACCAUGCAUGUUAAGAAAUUUUAGAUGCUUAAUUUUUGUAUUAUUAAUCACACAGCAUUUUUCUUGGUCUUACAGUUUUUCUUUUUUAGUCUAUGGUGACUAUUUCUCUAUUUUUUGUUCGUUUGAAUCUAUGUUCUGCAGCAGCUAAUCUGGCGGCAAAAAGCUUCAGAAUCCAGAUGAAAUAGAAGUUAAACAAUAGAAUAGAACUUCUGCUAAGGAAUGGAACCCUACUUCUCAGAUUUUGUGUGUAAAUCAAUUAAAUCAUUUUCCUAGGAAAAUUUAUCUGGCUAGCUAGUUACUUUCAAGAUGUGUUGAUCACCUGCUUCGCAGCUCGUUGAUCACCUGCUUCGCAGCUCAACAGUCAAGAUCAUAAAAGGAGAAAUAGAGAUUUCUCCAUUGAUUUUCCGUCAAGAGAAGGAAAUCCCAGAAAAAGUUGGAAGAGGAAAAAACUUCCUAGUACAAAAUCUAUU